GGAGAGGUGACCGAGCGGCUUAAGGUGCACGACUGGAAAUCGUGUGGGCGGCGCGAGCUGCCUCGUGGGUUCGAAUCCCACCCUCUCCGC
rnacentral:tRNA from 1 species